GACGAACGCUGGCGGCGUGCUUAACACAUGCAAGUCGAACGGAAAGGCCCUGCUUUUGUGGGGUGCUCGAGUGGCGAACGGGUGAGUAACACGUGAGUAACCUGCCCUUGACUUUGGGAUAACUUCAGGAAACUGGGGCUAAUACCGGAUAGGAGCUCCUGCUGCAUGGUGGGGGUUGGAAAGUUUCGGCGGUUGGGGAUGGACUCGCGGCUUAUCAGCUUGUUGGUGGGGUAGUGGCUUACGAAGGCUUUGACGGGUAGCCGGCCUGAGAGGGUGACCGGCCACAUUGGGACUGAGAGACGGCCCAGACUCCUACGGGAGGCAGCAGUGGGGAAUAUUGCACAAUGGGCGGAAGCCUGAGGCAGCAACGCCGCGUGCGGGAUGACGGCCUUCGGGUUGUAAACCGCUUUCGCCUGUGACGAAGCGUGAGUGACGGUAAUGGGUAAAGAAGCACCGGCUAACUACGUG
rnacentral:rRNA from 1 species